UGUAAAUGAGUAUAGAUUAAACUGAGAAGUCUGCAUUGCAACAUAACAUCUAUUUGAGAUUACAUCAUUACAUUUAUAAAGAGGUGCAAGUGACACCCCCCUUUCUCUGACUGCAAGUAGUGUCUCCCGUGAUCUGUCUGGAGCAGGAGAGAUAAAAAACAGGUUUCAGUGAUCUGACCAGAAGCAGUAGUAGAGAUAAGAGAACAGGUUUAUGUGGCUUCUUGCAUUUGCAGAUGCUGUAUU
rnacentral:lncRNA from 1 species